CAGGCCUAACACAUGCAAGUCGAACGGACCCUUCGGGGUUAGUGGCGGACGGGUGAGUAACACGUGGGAACGUGCCUUUAGGUUCGGAAUAGCUCCUGGAAACGGGUGGUAAUGCCGAAUGUGCCCUUCGGGGGAAAGAUUUAUCGCCUUUAGAGCGGCCCGCGUCUGAUUAGCUAGUUGGUGAGGUAACGGCUCACCAAGGCGACGAUCAGUAGCUGGUCUGAGAGGAUGACCAGCCACACUGGGACUGAGACACGGCCCAGACUCCUACGGGAGGCAGCAGUGGGGAAUCUUGCGCAAUGGGCGAAAGCCUGACGCAGCCAUGCCGCGUGAAUGAUGAAGGUCUUAGGAUUGUAAAAUUCUUUCACCGGGGACGAUAAUGACGGUACCCGGAGAAGAAGCCCCGGCUAACUUCGUGCCAGCAGCCGCGGUAAUACGAAGGGGGCUAGCGUUGCUCGGAAUUACUGGGCGUAAAGGGCGCGUAGGCGGAUCGUUAAGUCAGAGGUGAAAUCCCAGGGCUCAACCCUGGAACUGCCUUUGAUACUGGCGAUCUUGAGUAUGAGAGAGGUAUGUGGAACUCCGAGUGUAGAGGUGAAAUUCGUAGAUAUUCGGAAGAACACCAGUGGCGAAGGCGACAUACUGGCUCAUU
rnacentral:rRNA from 1 species